rnacentral:tRNA from 1 species
AGGGYAAUAGUUAAAUAUAACAUUGAUUUGCAUUCAAAAGGUGGUUGAUUAGYGCAACUUACCUUA